UACGGGGGGGGCAAGCGUUGUUCGGAAUUACUGGGCGUAAAGGGCGCGUAGGCGGCCUGCUAAGUCGGACGUGAAAUCCCCCGGCUCAACCGGGGAACUGCGUCCGAUACUGGUGGGCUCGAAUCCGGGAGAGGGAUGUGGAAUUCCGGGUGUAGUGGUGAAAUGCGUAGAUAUCCGGAGGAACACCAGUGGCGAAGGCGACUUUCUGGCCUGUUCUUGACGCUGAGGCGCGAAAGCUAGGGGAGCAAACGGG
rnacentral:rRNA from 1 species